rnacentral:rRNA from 1 species
AUUGAACGCUGGCGGCAGGCUUAACACAUGCAAGUCGAGCGGAGUGAUGGUGCUUGCACUAUCACUUAGCGGCGGACGGGUGAGCAAUGCUUAGGAAUCUGCCAUUUAGUGGGGGACAACAUUCCGAAAGGAAUGCUAAUACCGCAUACGUCCUACGGGAGAAAGCAGGGGAUCUUCGGACCUUGCGCUAAAUGAUGAGCCUAAGUCGGAUUAGCUAGUUGGUGGGGUAAAGGCCUACCAAGGUGACGAUCUGUAGCGGGUCUGAGAGGAUGAUCCGCCACACUGGGACUGAGACACGGCCCAGACUCCUACGGGAGGCAGUAGUGGGGAAUAUUGGACAAUGGGCGGAAGCCUGAUCCAGCCAUGCCGCGUGUGUGAAGAAGGCCUUUUGGUUGUAAAGCACUUUAAGCGAGGAGGAGGCUCUCCUAGUUAAUACCUAGGAAGAGUGGACGUUACUCGCAGAAUAAGCACCGGCUAACUCUGUGCCAGCAGCCGCCGCCGUAA